UACGUAGGUGGCAAGCGUUGUCCGGAUUUACUGGGCGUAAAGAGCGCGCAGGCGGUCGUUCAAUCGCGUGUGAAAGCCCCCCGGCUCAACUGGGGAGGGUCACGCGAUACUGAUCGACUCGAAGGCAGGAGAGGGUAGUGGAAUUCCCGGUGUAGCGGUGAAAUGCGUAGAUAUCAGGAAGAACACCAAUGGCGAAGGCAGCUCUCUGGGACGGUACUGACGCUGAGACGCGAAAGCGUGGGGAGCGAACAGG
rnacentral:rRNA from 1 species